rnacentral:misc_RNA from 1 species
GGUAGGCAUCCAAAAUGUAAAGCUAAUUAUUAAUUUAUUUAGUAGUGAAGUAUACCUGGGCUGAUCAAAGUCCUAAUAAUAUCAACCCCUUGGUUUAUCAGAAUGCUUUCAAAUAGAGAAUCAGCCAGACGUUCAAGGAGAAGAAAGCAAGCCCAUCUUACAGAACUUGAGACACAGGUAUCUCAACUGAGAGUAGAAAACUCCUCCCUACUGAAACGUCUGACUGACAUAAGCCAGAAAUACAAUGAAUCAGCUGUUGAUAAUCGUGUCCUAAAAGCAGAUGUUGAGACAU